GUGGGGUCGCCCCUGCCCUCCCGCGCCCCGGGGCUGGGGGCGCCACCUUGCCAGCUCCGACUGCUGCAGGGAGCGCCAGGGGUGAGUGUGCGGAUCAGCGCUGAGCCCGGGAGUGCGGGUCACGCCCGCAGCUGGCGCGCAGGAGAAUCCAGCAGCGGAAGGAGGGGAGAGUCUUCGAAUCCAUCUCUCGGUGGGAUCUUGAGAGGAUUCGCGGGGGGGACGGAGGAGUUUGGGAGAGAAUGAAUUGGACUGUGAAACUUUCAUGAACUUCUCAAAAGAACAGGAACAUGAGGAGACGAAAUGGUGAUGAAAACCCACAAUUCAAUCUACCACAGUAUGGUAAGCAUUCCCAGCUUUAAACCAUGAAGAAAAAUAAAUUGACAAUUAGUGAAAAAAAAAAUGUGGUAAAUCAAAGAACGUAAUGCAAAAUGGACACUGGAGGGAUGAAAGUCCAUAUGAC
rnacentral:lncRNA from 1 species